AUAACAGACUAUCAUCGGUGGUACGUUCGAAAGCGAAAAAUAACACUUUGUCAAGAUGAAAAACGUAACAGGGGUGUGUGUGAUGGUAAUACUGGUUGUAGCUUUGUGGAUCGACACAGCUACAGCUAUUAACUGGGGUCGUACGAUGACUUUGGGAUCUCGUGUGGUGGGUCGGAGAAAUGAACAAGAUGCAGUCAGAAGCGGAAUGAAAAAUACAGAAAGAGCCCAACUUCAUGCUAGAGAAACUGCUCAUCGUAUUCGCGGACGCAAGACAUAGUAUUUUUCAACUGUGUGAUUAUAAACAGUCGCAAUGUAUACGUCUAACAUACACGUAUAUAUGAUGAAAUAAAAUGUUAUCGUAUUUAUACGAUAUCUGAUAAAAUGUGUUCAAAUC